CCUACGGGUGGCAGCAGUAGAGAAUCAUUCACAAUGGGGGAAACCCUGAUGGAGCGACGCCGCGUGGGGGAAUGAAGGUCUCCGGAUUGUAAACCCCUGUCAUGUGGGAGCAAAUUAAAAAGAUAGUACCACAAGAGGAAGAGACGGCUAACUCUGGGCCAGCAGCCGCGGUAAUACAGAGGUCUUAAGCGUUGUUCGGAAUAACUGGGCGUAAAGCGUGCUUAGGCUGUUUCGUAAGACGUGUGUGAAAGGCGCGGGCCCAACCCGCGGACGGCACAUGAUACUGCGAGACUAGAGUAAUGGAGGGGGAACCGGAAUUCUCGGUGUAGCAGUGAAAUGCGUAGAUAUCGAGAGGAACACUCGUGGCGAAGGCGGGUUCCUGGACAUUAACUGACGCUGAGGCACGAAGGCCAGGGGAGCGAAAGGGAUUAGAUACCCCUGUAGUC
rnacentral:rRNA from 1 species